CUUCGGAUUCAGUGGCGGACGGGUGAGUAACACGUGGGUAAUCUACUGAGUAGUGGGGGACAGCCCGGCGAAAGCCGGAUUAAUACCGCAUACGCCCUACGGGGGAAAGGCGCAAGCCGCUAUUUAAUGAGCCCGCGUAAGAUUAGCUAGUUGGUGGGGUAAAGGCCUACCAAGGCGAUGAUCGGUAGCUGGUCUGAGAGGAUGAUCAGCCACAUUGGGACUGAGACACGGCCCAAACUCCUACGGGAGGCAGCAGUGGGGAAUAUUGGACAAUGGGCGCAAGCCUGAUCCAGCAAUGCCGCGUGUGUGAAGAAGGUUUUCGGAUUGUAAAGCACUUUCGGCGGGGACGAUGAUGACGGUACCCGCAGAAGAAGCCCCGGCUAACUUCGUGCCAGCAGCCGCGGUAAUACGAAGGGGGCUAGCGUUGCUCGGAAUGACUGGGCGUAAAGGGCGCGUAGGCGGAUGUGACAGUCAGACGUGAAAUUCCUGGGCUCAACCUGGGGACUGCGUUUGAGACGUUAUAUCUAGAGUGAGGAAGAGGGUUGUGGAAUUCCCAGUGUAGAGGUUGAAAUUCNUAGAUAUUGGGAAAAACACCGGUGGCGAAGGCGGCAACCUGGUCCUUUACUGACGCUGAGGCGCAAAGCNUGGGGAGCAAACCGGGAUUAGAUCCCCUGGUAAGUCCACACUGUAAACCGAUGUGUGCUGGAUGUUGGGUGAACUUUAGUCCACUCAGGGUGCUAGCUAACGCGAUAAGCACCCCGCCUGGGGAGUACGGCCCAAGGUUGAAAAUCAAAGGAAUUGACGGGGGGCCCGCACAAAGCGGUGGAGCAUGUGGUUUAAUUGAAGCAACGCGCAGAACCUUACCAGGAUUUGACAUGGGGUGGGCGCAAGCAGAGAUGUUUGUUCCCGCAAGGGCCACCUGCACAGGUGUCUGCAUGGCUGUCGUCAGCUCGUGUCGUGAGAUGUUGGGUUAAGUCCCGCAACGAGCGCAACCCUCGCCUUUAGUUCCAGCAUGUUUGGGUGGGCACUCUAAAGGAACUGCCGGUGACAACCGGAGGAAGGUGGGGAUGACGUCAAGUCCUCAUGGCCCUUAUGUCCUGGGCUACACACGUGCUACAAUGGCGGUGACAGAGGGAAGUUAGGUCGCGAGGCCCUGCCGAUCCCUAAAAGCCGUCUCAGUUCGGAUUGCACUUGCAACUCGAGUGCAUGAAGGUGGAAUCGCUAGUAAUCGCGGAUCAGCAUGCCGCGGUGAAAAGCGUUCCCGGGCCUUGUACACACCGCCCGUCACCCAUAGGGGGGUUGGUUCGACCUUAAGCCGGUGCGCCAACCUCGCAAGAGGAGGCAGC
rnacentral:rRNA from 1 species